CUGACUUUUACUUAGCAAAUUAGUUUAAAUGAACUGUGUUUGUUGAUCUGCAGUUACUGCUGCUUAGAGAGUAAAGUGAACUGGAUGGAGUGAGUCAGUGAGAAGCAGUUCUUUGGAAGUGGGGCUGAAAUGUGGCACCAAGUUUUUAAGUACUUGGGGGUGGGAGGUAUUUUUUUUCUCUCCACAGGAGUGAUGUGUACUUCAGUAAAGGCAGCCAGUCAAGGAUGUUCCAGAGGUAGUGGGGAAGAAUGUCUUGUUAAUUGUGAUGAUCAUUUCCCAUCUCCCUGGAUUCAUUGGCUGCGUGCUGUUAUCUUUACUCAGACGGCUCCUCUAACCAUGUUUACAACUAUCAACCCUGUGACCAUCCACGGCAGCCUUGUGACAGUUCGUGCCCUUGUGUGAUAGCACAAAAUUUUUGUGAAAAGUUUUGUCAAUGUAGUUCAGAGUGUCAAAACCGCUUUCCUGGAUGCCGGUGCAAAGCACAAUGCAACACCAAGCAGUGUCCGUGCUACCUGGCUGUCCGAGAGUGUGAUCCUGACCUCUGUCUCACUUGUGGAGCUGCUGACCACUGGGACAGUAAAAAUGUGUCCUGCAAGAACUGUAGCAUUCAGCGGGGCUCUAAAAAGCACUUACUGCUGGCACCGUCUGAUGUGGCAGGCUGGGGCAUCUUUAUCAAAGAUCCAGUACAGAAAAAUGAAUUCAUCUCAGAAUACUGUGGA
rnacentral:lncRNA from 1 species